CCUCCUUGGAGAUGGUGUUUAGCAUUUCAUCACAUUGAUACACCAUCCAAGGCAUUUUGUGAUGAAAAACAGCAGGAGUUCCCUGUGUGGACUGAAGCUUGUCCAUCUGAUGGUACUGACUGGAAAGGAGAAAGGCUACCGCACCAUCGUCCUCCAGGUAAUCAAGCCAAGAUCAGUCCACAUGCUGAGGGUUGCAACUCCUACACCACUAACAAGAUUUCACUGUGAUUAGCUGACUGCAGCAAAAUCUGACUAGAGAAAAUGAUGAAUGAAUCUACAAUGUCGUUGCAUGGACAAGCAAUCUUAGAAUACAAGCACCUCAACUUAUAAACCACUGGUAAUUGAAGCUGGUAGAGCCCUGUGACAUCUCUCGUAAACAAGCUAGGUUAUGGACAAGGAUCACGUCAACCAAGUUCAAAUGUCAAGAACACGAUAGGGCCCCUUCCAUUCUGACUGGAAAAGACAUCUAUCAUCUAUAGUUAUGUGCAUUAUCAAGGGUAUCCACAGUUUCUUUGCUGGGAUAAAUGGAAAGCAGUGGAAUUCAACUAUGGUGUGACAGCAUUUUCUGUCCUUGUAUAACUGUGUAGUUUGUGCUCUGUAGUAUGUGAAUUGAAAAUUUGUAAAAAUCUGGUUAUUGGAGUAAAGAUUGUACAAUGGAAUAUCCACACCUGGUAUUCUAGUUACUGUAGCUUAGCUAAUGUGUAGUGACCUUUUUGUUUUCACUUUAAAAAACCUAUGCGAUUUGCCGCACGAAAGGUCCUUCCAGAGAUUGUAGGACUGGGUCCAUUGAAUGUAACAAAAAUAAUCGAUGCCUAUUUACAAGUGAAAUGAAGAGUCUGCAUUUUGGUGCAACUCCAUAUAACUGUCAGGUGAUUUCGCUCUGAACUUGUGACACUCAGAUAGGUCUUAAAUAAUCAUUAUCUCACCCCUCUGGGAAAAAUUUGCAGCCAGAUUGCACCAUUGCCUGUUACCGCCUGAGAGAUGGCGAUGUCAGGGGCGCAUGACGGUGGUUAAACCUAUUGCGAAUGGGCAGCACAAUUGGGUGUAGGAUAUUCCGAAACCAUUGCACACUCCUGAAUCUGCGGUGGGUUGGUACCCCACGCUACGUAAGGAGUAGGUUUCUGGGUAAGACUUGGUCCACGUGAAUAGGUCGUGCCUUAAAAAUGAUGAGAAGUUGCGAAUUGACGCCCUGUGAAGUGUCCUUCGACCAGCUAGUGCUAAUCCGGUCACUGUCUCCAGGUCACCAUGCCUCGGUCAAUGAGCGGGCGAAGCACCCAAUGGCUCCGUCAGGAGUACAUCGUCAACUUCAGCCCGUAGUCAAACCGGUAUGCGCACAAAUAUCUUAGUUGAGAGUGGGGGACAUCAGUAAAGUGCUUCUCAUCGGGGUAAUACAGUACCACUGUAUACAAUGACCCCAUUUUUUGUUGGAUUCAUUUCCACUGAGGAGUGGUCGAUAAUGAGAAUUUCAGGCCAGUCUGAUUAUCACCAGUACAGAGGGCAAUUACCUGAUAGUUACGUGGCAUUACGCCAACUCUUUCUCAUCCUUUGUAAAUUAGUGUUGUUUGUUGCAUGUCACAUUCAAUGGCUCAUUUGAGGAUAGUUUCUGUGAUUCUACUUUAUCAUGAGCAGACCCAUUUAGGCCUGUUACUUUGUACUUUGCGCUCUGUAGUACUAGUAUGUGAUUUGAAAAGAUUGGAGUAAAGAUUGUACAAUGGAACAAGGGUCAUCUUGUUUGCCACUGUAGUUUAAGGAAGUGUUAGUGACCUAUUUGUUUUCAGUUUAAAAAAGACAUCAUGAUCAACUGCAUUGCUAUUAAUCCCUCAAAAGAUUUUUGGACCGGCUCAAUUAAAUGUAACAAAAAUAUCCAACACCUGGUAUUCUAGCUACUGUUGCUUAGCUCAGCAUUGUGACCUUUUUUUUUCACUUUUAAAAACCUAUGUGAUUUGCCACACUGAACCCUCCAGACAUUGUUGGACUGGGUCCAUUAAAUGUGACAAAAAUAUCCAACACCUAUUCACAAAUGAAGUGAGGGGUCGGCCUUUUGGUGUAACUCCAUAUUACUAUCUGGUGAUUUCGCUCUGAACUUGUGACACUCUGAUCGGUCUGAAAAUAUCAUUACCGUCCAUCCCUCAGUUUGCAGCCCGAUUGACCCGAUGACGGAGAAAUGGCGAUGUUAAAGGGGCAUGACGGCGGUCAUGCCCCUUUGAGGCCUACA